AUAUCAAUAAGCGGAGGAAAAGAAACUAACAAGGAUUCCCCUAGUAACGGCGAGUGAAGAGGGAAAAGCUCAAAUUUGAAAUCUGGCAGUCUAAGGCUGUCCGAGUUGUAAUCUAGAGAAGUGUUUUCCGUGCUGGACCGUGUACAAGUCCUUUGGAACAAGGCGUCAUAGAGGGUGAGAAUCCCGUCUACGACACGGACUACCAGUGCUCUGUGAUACACUCUCAACGAGUCGAGUUGUUUGGGAAUGCAGCUCAAAAUGGGUGGUAAAUUCCAUCUAAAGCUAAAUACAGGCGAAAGACCGAUAGCGAACAAGUACCGUGAGGGAAAGAUGAAAAGCACUUUGGAAAGAGAGUUAAACAGUACGUGAAAUUGUUGAAAGGGAAACGCUUGAAGUCAGUCGCGUCUUCAGAAAUUCAGCCUGGCUUCUGCCUGGUGUACUUUUCUGUUGGACGGGCCAGCAUCAGUUUUGGCCGCCAGAAAAAGGUGGGAGGAAUGUGGCACCUCCGGGUGUGUUAUAGCCUCUCAUCGUAUGUGGUGGCUGGGACUGAGGACCGCAGCACGCCUCUAAUGGCCGGGGUUCGCCCACGUAACGUGCUUAGGAUGCUGGCGUAAUGGCUUUAAACGA
rnacentral:rRNA from 1 species